CAUCUUCAAAAUAGUAGAAUGGCAUUUAUUUCUACUAUAAACCUUCAGUAAUAUUGUAGUAUGAAAGUCAGUAUUUUUUUUAAAAAUAUGAAUGUAUUUAAACUAUGUUUAUAUUCAUCAUUUUAUUUUGUGUUUUAUAUUUUUCAGCAAAUGGCUAUUAUAGUACACACGCUUAAUACUAAGAUUUGGCUGGAUGUAGUCUGAAGAUGUAUGACUAUAAUUUCAAGAUCCUGGCAUUCUCCUCACAUUCAUAGCAAGAUUGCGUCCUGUUCUGAAUCUGGAUAAGAUCUAAACUUGUCUUGUGCUUUGGUUAACACAUCAGAAAGGGAGAAGUGGAUGGAAAGACUUGAAGGGCUAAAUGAAUUUAGGAAAACUAAUGAAGCACCAAAGAACAAGAAGAAUAGAAAUAUCUAAAUGUUAUCAUUUGCAGGAAUUAAAUUUAUUUUAAUUCUGAGAAUUGUUGUGGGUUUUUUUUUCUCUAGCUAUAAUUUUAGAUAAACUCAAGUGGUUUGGAAAGGAAAACCAAUGAAAUUUCUCAGACCAUUUGAUGGGAGGUUGGAACAGCAAGUUGGGGAGUAUCAAUAAAUGAUUUUAAAGACUGAAAACAUUUAGGGGCAUUUUUUUUACAUGUAUUUGCAUGUGAAAUAUGUGGAUAGCAUACAUUCUAUGUAUCUUAUUACUACUGAGGUUUAACAUGUGUCAAAUAGGGGGCAUAUGUUGCGUUGCAAAGCCAUAGUUUGCACACAUAUUAUAUUCAUACGAUUCUCAUAUCAUUUCAAAAUUACAUGAUUGUCAUAUAAGAAUUAUAUAAUCAUUAUAUAAGCGAUCAUAUAAUUUUGAUAUGAUGCUCUUAUCACAUAAUUCGCAUAUCAGAAUUAUAUGAUUCUCAUAUGAUACCAAUGAUAUGAUUCUGAAAUUAUGCCCUUUUUUAAUUAUCUCAUAUCAGCGCAAUCAUAUAAGAAUCAUAUCAUUUUGAUAUGAGAAUGAUAUGUGGCGAAAUCCCCUGUGAAGUCUUCAUCGGAAGAAGUCCAAACGAACGCCGACUUGGAGAGGGGUUUGAUCGCCGCUUUGUACUCCGUUGACCUUCCUUCUCUUUGAACGUGGGAGGUUGGCAUACCUUAUUUGUUCUCAUCUUGGAGGAGCCUGUAAUU